UAAGUGCUGUACAGAGUGGCUCACGUCCCAGCAGCUUCCUUUGGAUUAAGGCUUCUCCCCUGGUCUUUCCGUCCUGGGGACACGGAAGGGUUACAGGGGCUGGAGGAGGGGAAGAGGAAGUGAGGUCGGAGGGGAGGGAGGGAGAGAGGGAGGGGCCCCGCGCGGAGACCGGGCUGCGGCGCCCGCGCCUGGAAGGUGGACGCUGGACGCUGGAAGCUGGAAGCAGCCACCGGCAGGUGCGCCGGAGGAGGCCGCUAGGCGGUUCUUGGGGACACAGAAGGACGAAAGGGCAGAACAUAAUGUGGAGUUAGGUGGAGAUUAGGACAAGAUGGUGGGACCUGGAACAACGGUUCUCAGAUGUGGUCCGCGGAUCCUGGAGGGGGAGGGGCGCGAGUAUCCGCGAGCUCAAAACUAUUUUCGUAAUGAUCCUAAGGCCGAACCAUGAGCCUUUCUCACCGUAUUGACAUUUGCACGAGUGGUGCAAAAGCAACAGUGCGGGAAACAGCUGGCGGCUUAGCGUGAAUGAGGACAGAGGCACCAACUAGACCGGCUGGAUUUUCUUCAUAUACUUCAACCAAAACAAACUUCAGCAGCAAACUGAAUGCAGAAGCGAGCGCGAGAAUCCAGCUACUGCCAGUAAGUCAGACACAAAGAGAUAUGCAAAAACAUAAACAAAGCAACGCUUCUCGGGGCCGGCCCCGUGGCUGAGUGGUUAAGGUCACGCACUCCGCUUUGGCAGCCCAGGGUUUUGCUGGUUCGAAUCCAGGGCGUGGACAUGGCACCACUCAUCAGGCCAUGCUGAGGCAGCGUCCCACAUGCCACAACUAGAAGGACCCACAACUAAAAUAUACAACUAUGUACUGGGGGGCCUUGGGGAGAAAAAGGAAAAGUAAAAUCUUUUUUAAAAAGUCUCUGUCUUUUAAUAGAUACAUUUAAACUAUUCACAUUUAUAAGGAUUACUGAAAAUUUUUACUUAUUUCUAUCACUUUAUUUUGUGUUUUCUAUUUGCCAUAUUUUUCUUUUACUUUUUUCCCUAAGUUUUAUUAACAUAUACUUGACAUACAGCGCCGUAUAGAUUUAAGGUGCACGGCAUAGUGAUUUGAGUAACUCUUGCUACUUUUCACAUCCUUUUUAAUUUUCUAUUGCUCAAUCAAGAUUUCUUUAAUGUCCUCCAGUCCCCUUACUGGUUUAGAAACUGUAUAUUUUAUUUCUACUGGUUUAGAAAUUAAAUUCUUGACUUUACAAAGUUUAAAACUCACUAUUUUCUCUUUUUUUUGGGGGGGGGAAGAGCAGCCCUGAGCUAACGUCUGUGCCCAUCUUCCUCUAUUUUAUAUGUGGGAUGGCUUGAUGAACACUGUGUAGGUCUGAGCCCAGGAUCCAAACUGGUGAACCCUGGCCCACCGAAGCAGAGUGAUGAACUUAACCACUAACCCACCAGGCCAGCCUCUCAUUACUUUCUUUAUCCUUCUUAAAAAUAUGAGAAACUUAGAUGAUUUCUCUCCAAUUUCUCCUCUCCUAUCUUCCAUGUUAUUAUUCCAUAGUAUUUUAGUUCCACCGGGUCUUCUGACCCCCCUCUUUUGUUUCAAACAGAUUGAUCAACAUGUUUGCUAGUUUCUUGGUUCAGCAUUGUGACUUGCAUUCCACUCCUACUUCCUGGGUUCAGUUUCCUAGUAACUGAGGAGCAUGAUUGAACAGGUCUUCCAAUAAAGGUCUGUGCAUAAUUGACUUUUCUCUGUCUCAAAUUUUAAUUUUACACUCACUUUUUUUUUUUUACUUUUUAAUGAAGUAUAAUAUAUAUAUAUAUAUAUAUACACACAUAUACAGAAAAGUACACAAAUUAUUAAUGUACAGUUUACGAAUGUUCACCCAAUCACUAAAGCAUAACAUCACCAGCACCCCCAAACCCCCCUCAAGCUGCCUCCUAGGCACUAACUUCCCCAAAAGCAACCACUAUCCUAACUUCAACUAAAAUGGACUGGCUUUGCCUGUUUUUGUUUUAUGUAAAUGGAAGCAAUCAUACAGUAUGGACUCUGUUGUGUCUGUCUUCUUCUCAAUGUUACAUUUGUGAAACUCAUCCAUGUUUUUGCAUGUAGCUGUAAUUUAGUAAUUCUGUUGCCAUAUAAAAUUCCAUUUUAUGAAUCUGCUGGAAUAUGUGUAUCCAUUCUACUAUUGAUGGGCAUUUGGGUUGUUUCUAGUUUGGGGCUAUUACUAAUGAUGCUUCUGUAAAGGUCCUGGCACUUGUCUUUUGCUGCACAUUUGUAUGAAAUUCUGUUGCAUGAUACUUAAGAGUGGAUUACUGGGUCACAGGGUACACACAGGAGCGUUCAGCUUUAACAGACACUGCCAAAGAAUUUUCCAAGUGAUUGUCUAAUUUAUAUUCUACCAGCAAUGGAUCAGAGGUUCAGUUUCUCUACAUCUUCACUCAUACUUGGCAUUGUCGUUCUUUUCAGCUUUAGUCAUUCUCAUGGGUAUAUAGUGGUAUCUCACGGUGGUUUUAAAUGGCAUUUCCCUGGAGACUAAUGAAAUGGAGCUCCUUUUCAGAUGCUUAUUUCCAUUUGAAUGUUCUCUUUUGUGAAGUGCCUAUUUCAAGUCCUCUGCCUGUUUUCCAUUGGAUUGUCUGUCUGUUUGUGAUUUGCAGGAGUUCUAUAUACAUUCUGAUAUGAGUCCCCUUUUUGGAUGUAUGUAUUGCAAAUGUCUUCUACUCAAUGGCUUGCCUUCUCACUCUUAUAAUAUAUAUAUUUUUUUUUAAGAUUUUUUUAUUUUUCCUUUUUCUCCCAAAGCCCCCCAGUACAUAAUUGUGUAUUUUUAGUUGUGGGUCCUUCUAGUUGUGGCAUGUGGGAUGCCGCCUCAGCAUGGCCUGAUGAGUGGUGCCAUGUCCACGCCCAGGAUCCAAACCAGCGAAACCCUGGGCUGCCAAAGCAGAGUGUGAGAACGUAACCACUCGGCCACGGGGCCAGUCCCUAAAUAUUCUUCUACAAGAUUUUUUUUUUAAUAGCUGCCAAAUAGGCAUCACGUGCCUCUCCCUAGAGCAGGGGCUCUGCAAUCAGACAAGCCUGGUUAAUCUCCUGCCUUCAUCCUCUACAGGCUGUGUAACUUUUAACAAGUUAUUUAAACACUCUGGGCUUUAGCCUUCCUGGGAGGUGCCCAGGUCUAGACCUGGGUGGAUACAUAAUUGGAUCUCAAUCCCUAAUAAAUAGCUGAUUGGUUUAGAAGCUUUGCAUCAACUGAAACAGUGGAUCAUUAACUCAAGAACAGUUAUUUAUUCAUUAAAGUCCCCUAAAGACCUGGGAUAGGCCAUAUUUCAUGAGUCCACAGUUUUAUUGCAUGUGACUAAGAACAAAAACACUGCAUUAAAAUGAAUGCCCUGUGGUAGUUGAAAGGCAAAGUCAGCAUUGGCAGCAUGAAGGAGUGGCCACUGAACCGCUUAACCAUAUUCCCUUGUCAGAUUGUCAGAUUCUUCCCUUUCUCUAGAGGCUGUGGUUAAGAGAGGGUUCCAACCUUGUCUUAGCUGGUUGCCUUAGGAGAGAAUUGGUUGAUUUCUGUGUUUCACUUUAUCAUCUGUAAAAUGGGUAGAGUAAAAGUUCAAUACCAACCUCAAGGCGAUGUUGUGAGGGUUAAUGAGUAUUACGUGAGGGAGGGUGUGACAAGUGUUAGGUGAUCAGUGGUGGCCACCAUUGUUGUCACCCUCGGUGGGGUACAGACCAGUAAGAUGUGGACAUGUGAAGCUGCUCACUUCAUUACUGAAGUGGGGAAACCCAAAAGGCUGGAAGGGGACGUGAGUCCUGUUUAUCUGGGACCGGGGCGGCCCAGUGGCACAGCAGUUAAGUGUGCACAUUCUGCUUCAGCGGCCCAGGGUUCACCGGUUCAGAUCCUGGGUGUGGACAUGGCACCGCUUGGCAAGCCAUGCUGUGGUAGGCGUCCCAUGUAUAAAGUAGAGGAAGAUGGGCACGGAUGUUAGCUCAGGGCCAGUCUUCCUCAGCAAAGAAGAAGAAAAUUGGCAGCAGAUGUUAGCUCUAAUCUUCCUCAAAAAAAAAAAAAAAAAAUCUAGGACAGAUGAGGAACACUGAAACUCAUGAGAAGUAGUGAAAGACAAAAUUCCUCACAUCAGUUUGUCCACUGAGGUGCUGGCAAAUGUUUUUAACAACCAGCUCUAUGUAGGGUGUGUGUGUGUGUGUGUGUGUGUAUGCUGACUUCCUGAUAUAAACGCUUCCGCAAUGGCUGAUUUCAAACUACCAACAUAACAUCACUGAACACAGAGUCGUACAGAUUCCCAUUAUAUAUAUAGUAUUUCCACCAUAUAGAUACAAUAGAUAUAAGUAUACUCAAGAGAAUAGAUACUAGUCAAAUAAAUAAGAAGUGGUAAGUUUUGAGUCUUUUAAUAUAAUUUACUUAAUUGUAAGUUUAUAUAACAGUUUUUAAUAAUGGCUGUGUUUAACAACUGGCUUGUAAAAUUCCUGAAAAAUUAACAUUUGGCUCUCAUAAGUCUAUACGAGCUGUCUCUAGCCACCACUGAAUUAGUCCACUGGUCCUCAUUUGGAGCCUUAAUCGUGGACAAAGAGUAGUAUUCAUGUUUAGUUCAGGACCUGGCACCCCGGCAAGUGCUAAGUAAGGGCAGAGUCAAUGUACUUCUAAAGACCAGUGCUCAUUCCCUUGGUAACUGGGUCUCCUCCCCCAGGACACAGCCCAAAAGGUGACCUUUUCCUUCCCUGGCUCUUGGCUGUUUAUCAUUCUGAUCUGCCAGCACCUCCCCCUGUUCAGGAUAGACUAUCACAGGACUGCCUGGGACGUGCACGGAGGGCAUCCUGGCCAGCCGCUUGCCGGAACUCAUGUCAGAUGCCUGCAAGGUCAUCCAGAUGGCCGGAAGGUGAACAGCAGCCCUGGGAAGGAGCUGCCUGCUCCUUGCCUCUCAGCCCCAUGACAUCUGUAUUUUGGAGUUUGGAGUGCCUUUGGCACACAGACCCCACCAGUCCACUGCCCUCAUGAGUUUCAAAACCUGGAUCCACGCUACCACUUCUCAGUUUAACCUCACGUCUCUCCAUUGCUUCUCUGCGCCUGCCAAUAGCAGAGAGAGUCCUAACAGACUACAUGCACUGGGCGCUCGCUCUAGAAUUAUCCCCCUUAAGCCUCAUAACAACCCUAUGAAGUAGGUACUAUCCUUAUCCCGGGUCUGUGGAUGAGAAAGCCAGGGCUCAGGGUGGUGUGCAUGAUUACCCACGGUCGUAGGGGGAGGACCCAGUAUUUUUCCUCUCUCCCUCAACUGUCUUCCUUCACGUGGUAAUCUCAGUUCCUGCAUGAUUAUUUUGCGUUCUUUAGCUUGUUGCGUACUGCUGAAUGUUCUCAGCACCAACGCGGUUGUGGAAGCCACGGGUCUGAAAAGAUUGCUCCAGGAGACAGUGUGCUGUGAGGAUGGAGGGGGGGAGAGGAGGAAUCGCUGAUGAGAUCCUGGGGGACACUGACGCCUAAGGGGCCCUGAGGAAGAGGAGACCCAGAAGGGCUGGCACAGAAAGUGCCAGAUGUCCAGGGGAUGGUCUGCAGGGGGGAAGCUACAAAGUGGACGAGUAAGUGAGCACCUAAAGGUGUCCCCUGGACUUAGCACUCCAGAAGCCAUCGGUGACCUUGGCAGGGGCCUUCUUUUAUUUCUUUACCAAGUGGGGAGGAGACUGGAGCAGGCAAAGCAGGAACCUAAUAGCAGUGGGUUGAAGAAAGGCUGGGAGGGAGCAAGGUGGGCUCAGCCAGUGUAGACUUCUCUUCCAGGAAUGAGGAAGCAGCAGGGGGAUGCUAGAUGGAAGGAUGGCUUUGGGGAUUUGGGUUUAGGUUGUUGUUGUUAUUGUUUUUUUAAACUGGGAAUAUCCUUAGCAAAUUUAUAUGCUGAGGAAAAGGAGCCGGCAGAGGUAAGGCUGAAGAUGUCAGUGAAAGAGGAGGGUGAAGGCAAGAGGUGGCCGAGGCCACACCCUGAGGGGUCCAAGCCGCAGACUGGAGAACAUCCCUUCCUCUCCUGGGGAGGAGGGAGCUGUGACAGGUGCUGUCCGGUGGCCUCUAUUUCCUCUGACAAAUGGGAGACAGAGAGUGAUGGGGACCAACAGAGAAGAGUGGUGGAAUUUGUAACAACCUGUUUGGGAGAACAGGAGGAGGUUGCCAAGAGACACAGCUGAAGGGCAGUGGGCGGUCUCCACAGGUGUCGCGUUGUCCCAGCAGCGAUAAACCUAGGCUUCUUUGUGAAUGCUGGUUACGUCUGUAGCUCUUAAGCUCCUUAAGCUCAUUCACCAUCUCCUUUCUUAUUGGUUUCACCAGCAGGAGGUGAUGCUUUCUCCAGGUUCUAAGGACAGCGCAUCAUGGCCACCCAAUAAAAGGUGCACGAGGUGUCUCUGGAUUUCUUUCCACCAUAUAGGUUACAAGAUGCAGUCAGCUGUCUGCAACCUGGAAGAAGGUUCUCACCAGGGCCAGCCCUGGUGGCCUAGUGGUUAAGUUCAGCGUGUUCUGCUUUGGCAGCCGGGGUUUGGUUCCCCACUGAAGACCUACACCACUUGUCGGUCAGCGGCCAUGCUGUGGCGGCGACUCACAUCGAAAAAGAGGAAGAUUGGCAACAGAUGUUAGCUGAGGGCAAAUCUUCCUCAGGAAAAAAAAAAAAAAAGAGGGCUCUCACUAAUCAGUCAGUGCCUUGAUCUUGGAAUUCCCAGCCUCCAGAGCCAUGAGAAAUAAAUGUUUGUUGUUUAAGCUGUU
rnacentral:lncRNA from 1 species